rnacentral:lncRNA from 1 species
UGGUUAGCAUUGAUAUAUGGAGGUUUAAACUUCCUUGAUUAAAAUCUAAUUCAUCUUGAUCAUGGAUCAAGUGAAUGACUUUGCAUUAAGGAUAUGUUGCUUCCUAAUCAUGCAAAGAACCUAAAUCAAUACAAGAUCAUUUCUCAUCUUCUUUUUGGCAUGGCAAGUUGUAGGAGUUUGAUUCACUAAUCAAAAUCUCUAACUUAACAAGAUCAUUUCUCAUCUUCUUUUUGGCAUGGCAAGUUGUAGGAGUUUGAUUCACUAAUCAAAAUCUCUAACUUGUGUUGUUGCCUACAUUAUUAUUGACCGGCCUCAGAUAGUUGUGACUUCUACGUAAGUCCAAUUAUGAUUGCUUAACAUAGCGCUAAAUUGCCUUAUGGCACACUAACUUUAACACUAACCAUUAACCAUUAACAUUUAAUUCUUGCUCUUUACAUUUAUGCAAUUUACUAUUCUUGUACAUAUUAUUCAUUUUCUUUUUCCUUUGCUCAUUUGAGCACACGUUUAUGUUAAUGCAAUUUGCCUUUUGCUCACUUGAGCACAUAAUUGUGUAUAUAUUAUUAUUGUGCUUGUGUUUUGUUUUGAUUGUUGUGGACCAAAUGCAAAAAAUGGACAAAUGGACUUAGCUUCUAGGACAUUCCCUAUGCAAAAAUGGAGUAAAAAAGGCCUUAAUGUUGAAGAUGGAUUAGAAGGACCAAAUCUCUAAACUCACUCUUGUCCAUUCUUGAUUUGCUUCAUAGAACUUUUUGAUGUUGUGUGCUUUUGUUCUAGGGAAUCCUAUUUGAGCCAAAUUGAAGAACCAUUGCCAUGAUCAUCCAAAGUGAAAGAUACAAGAGCCAUUGGGGAUCUUCUAAGAGCUUGUUUGAUUAUGUUGAUUGCUUGAGCUUACACUUCUUUUGCUUGCAUAUUCCAAAGGAUGGGAGCUACUUGGAUCAUCAAUAUGAUCUCAAGAGAGGAACUCCAUUUGUGGUCUUGUUUCUUAUCCUUCAUCUCUUGUAUGAUUAGGAACUUAGCUAUUCUUCUUCUUCCCUCCACUCUAACACAAGCCAAAACUUUUUGUGCAAACAUUAACACUUCUUUUUAAACAUUAGAAACCUAAGCCUUAUGCUUUUGAUUUUCAAACUUUCUUUUCAUAACACUUAUUUUGAAUUGAAUCUUCAAGUCAACUUGGACCAUAUUUUGUAAAUACUUUCCAUUGGUAAAUAUAACUCAUUCAAAUAAUUUUGUGGUUUCAAUGGCCACUUUCUUAAUUAAAAACUCUUUCAUAACCUUUAACUAUUAGGUUUGAGUUAUCCUUGAGGUAGAUAUAAUACUCAUCUAUAUCCUUAGUGAUGGACAAUGAGUCUUCCAUGCUUAUUAUAGGGUUAACCCCUCACUAGCAUGUUAAAGCUAUCCUCACAUGGUGGAUUUGCGGUUUUAGGUUGAGUUUUCUCUCUUGGAUAACAAAAGACCUUAAGGCUUUUGGACCAAUCAAUUCACCGACUUGUUUUGAGAUUUUUACCCCGAACUACGAGGUUUUGAUCCUAAUCUUUUUUAAGAUGGUACGUAGGCAAUAGGUUUAUCCAUCCAAACACAAAUUGUAAAUAACUUGUAUAUUCUUCUCUCAUCUCUUCAAUCAUGUUUGCACAAACAAACUUUCACAAAAUACCAACCUUACAACAAGUGUGAAAAAGGCUCCCUAGGAGUACCUAGGAUGUUUUGGGUGCUUAAAACCUUCCCAUUGCAUAACCAACCCCCUUACCCUGAUCUCUGACAUUUUUACUAGUUUUUGAUUCGAUAAAACUUUUAGGUUUUUGUUCCCUUUCUAACCAUUCCUUUGGAUAAAUAGAAGAGCGAUGGCGACUCGACUUGUAUGGUUUACCUUGGAUUUAGUCAAUAUCUCUAAUGGUAACGAAUACCCCGCUACAGAAAAGUGGCGACUCUGCUGGGGACUUUCUUUGCCUAGUGGGUUUUGCCGACUUUUCACAUUUGUGUUGUAUUGUAUUGUAUAUUAUUUUGUGACAUAUUUUUGUGCAAUUUGGGAUUACUGUAUUGUAUGUAAUGAUUGAAUUGCUUGAAUAUUAAUUCCUUGUAUGCUUGGUGGAUCUUUGUGAGAUGAGUUCUAUACCCGAACUCGAGUGCACUUAGGAUAGGAGAAUGGCAUAGUCUUGUCAACUUGUGUGGAGUUAUUCCUUAGCAAGUUGACUUGCAAGCCCAUUCACUUGGUGGAGGUCAUGUUGGGAUCAAUAAUGUCACACGAGUAGUCGUGGUUAGGCAUUACUCUUUCAAAUAUAGACCUUAGAAGCCAAGGACCAUAGUUUACCAAGCCCAUCUUGGCCUAUUUUUAGGCGUAGUGCGAAAGUCGUUCAAGUGUAAGAUUUGAUACGAUUGUUACGCAAUACUACACUCAUAAGAGUCUCUCUUGAGAAGAUUUUUGGAAUAUGAGGAGUCGUUUAUCCGUAAUAUCCGAAAGAUGGGAUGAUGACUAUGGGAGCCUCUUGUAGAACAUGUUUGGCAGGUUUAAACCCUAGUACACUCCCUUUGGGUGGUUCUUAACCGAGACUCCAUGCUCGUGACUUGCAACAAACCCUUGAUUCAUGGUUGAUCCGUUCUUGUGCAUCCUUAAUAUCAAUGGAACUUGGAUGUUGAUAAGGUGUAACCAUAAUCCCACCAAAAUGGAUGAUUGAUAUUAAGGAUGACAUGAUCCAUCCCAUGACCUUUGUUUGGUGUGCUUUGCUUGAUCCUUGAGUGUGAUUGUUGCAUUCAUGCAUUCAUGCACCCAUUUGCAUCCAUAUCAUCAAUAAUGAGAAAAUUUUCAAGGAACUUAGGAGGUCUAUUUGCAAAUUUUCAGACAUGGAAAUACAAAGAAGGAAUACAAAGAAGUAUAGUUUCAGACAACCCGACUUGAAAGAGCUAAGGAAUUUGACAUCCUAUGUAUUAGAUCCCUUGGGUUUCAAGGCUCGUUAUGGGAACAUCCGAUCCUUCAAUGAUCUUGGCGAGGCCUUCGUCAAGAAAUACAAGUAUAACGUGGACAUGGCUCCCGAUAGGGAUCAAUUGAGGGCCAUGUCCCAGAAGGAUAAGGAAACUUUCAAAGAGUACGCCUAGAGGUGGCGAGAGUUAGCAACACAGAUUGUGCCUCUACUGGAGGAGAAAGAAAUGACCAAGAUCUUCUUGAAGACCUUGAGCUCAUUUUACUACGAGCGGAUGAUUGCCAGCGCUCCUUCUGAUUUCACCGAGAUGGUGAACAUGGGGAUGCGUCUAGAGGAAGGAGUCAGGGAAGGGCGCUUGACCAGAGAAGAAAGCUCUUCUACCAAACGAUAUGGGGUGUUUGGAAAGAAGAAAGAUGGCGAGGCACAUGCUGUGACCUCCCAUGUUAAAUCAAGAAGACCCUCAGUGAGAAGGAAGAUCGUGCGUCCUUCCGGUAACCAGCAUCAGGUGGCUCACAUAACACCUAUUUUCAGUGAUAACCAGCAACAACAACAUCAACAAUAUCAACAACAACAACACCGUCCUCAACAGCAGGCCUACCAGCCUCGAAACAACAAUCAAGCCAGUACAAGCUAUGAGAGGAAGAGGGUCACCUUCGAUCCUAUUCCUAUGACCUAUGUAGAAUUGUAUCCCUCUUUGAUAGAGAGGAAAUUGAUUACUCCACGAGACCCCCCAACUAUACCUACCAACCCUCAGUGGUGGUAUAAGCCCGAGCUACAAUGUGUUUAUCAUUCCGGUGCUCCCGAACAUGACGUGGAAAACUGUUACCCACUGAAGACCAAGGUUCAAGACCUUGGGAGAUGUGGUAUCUUGUGUUUCGAGGACGUAGGUCCCAAUGUGAAGAAGAACCCAUUGCCCGAGCAUGGGAAAUCCUCUGUCAACAUGGUCCAGGGCUGCCCUGGUAAAUAUAAAGUCAAAUAUGUCAGCCAUAUUCGACAAUCUUUGGUUGAGAUGCACAGACUGUUAUGUGAGUACAGUCAUUAUGAGCAUAACCAUGACAGAUGCCGAGUUUGUACUGUCAAUCAGAGAGGAUAUCGCCAAGUCCGUAAAGGCAUCUAAGAAAUGCUGGAUGAAGGAGUAAUUGAGAUACUUCAAAAUCGAAAUGUUGAUGAUGAUGAUGAAGUCAAUGUAAUAUCUUCGGUAUUUCGGAUCCCUGAGCCUGUUGUCAUUCGGUACGAUGACAGCAAGCAGAAGGCUUCUCCCUCUUUGAUUAUUAAACCAAUUGGUCCUGUGCCAUACUCUUCUGAUAAAGUGGUCCCCUAUCACUACAAUGCUGUGGCAUUGGAGGAUGGGAAGGAGGUGCCCCUACCAUCUACUUCUGUUGUUAAUAUUGCCGAUGUUAGCGGCCUGACCCGUAGCGGUCGUGUUUUCUCGGCUCCGCCGAAACCCCAAGCUGAUGUCUGAAGAGCCGAUGUUGUUGAUUAUGCUGAACGCCCGAUUGGGAAUGCUGUUAGUUCUCUGAAUCCGGCACUUGUUGCCAAUAAACCUGCCUCCGUUGUAAGAGCUCCUGUCUUUGUUGGCCAGAGUGGCACCGUGAAAGAAGACUGUGAUGAGAUGCUGAGGCUCAUCAAGAGGAGUGAAUACAACAUUAUAGAUCAACUUCUACAGACACCAUCAAAGAUCUUUGUGUUAUCUUUGUUGAUGAAUUCAGAACCACACCGUGAAGCUCUGCAGAAGGUGUUGGAUGUGGCGUAUGUAGAUCAUGACGUCACAAUAGAACAAUUUGAUAGUAUUGUUGCAAACAUCACCGCUUGUAAUAAUUUGAGUUUUUGUGAUGCUGAUCUCCCCGGGGAGGGAAGAGACCACAAUUUGGCACUACACAUAUCCAUGAGUUGUAAGGAUGAUGCCAUGUCCAAUGUGCUGGUGGACACUGGAUCAAUCCUGAAUGUGUUGCCAAAAUCCACUCUCGCUAGAUUGUCAUAUCAGGGCCUCCCAUGAGGCAGAGUGGAGUAGUGGUUAAAGCUUUUGAUGGGUCCCACAAAAUUGUGAUUGGAGAGGUUGAACUCCCAGUCAAAAUCGGACCAAGUGAUUUCCAGAUCACUUUUCAGGUCAUGGAUAUUCACCCAUCAUAUAGCUGUCUGUUGGGAAGACCAUGGAUUCACGAGGCAGGCGCCGUGACAUCCACCCUACACCAGAAACUGAAAUUUGUCAAAAACAAGAAGCUAGUGGUGGUAGGGGGAGAAAAGGAUCUUCUGGUUAGCCAUUUGUCUUCCUUUUCUUACAUAGAUGCUGAGGAUGAAAUUGGAACGCCGUUCCAAGCUUUAUCUAUUGCUGAGCCCACUAAGAAAGGAACUUCUUCAUUGGCGUCCUAUAAUGAUGCUAAGUUGGCCAUUGAGCAUGGUACAACUACUGGAUUGGGGCAAAUGAUUAAGCUGGAAGACAACAAAUCCCGGGCUGGCAUAAGGUAUUCUUCUGGCGCUUUCAAUAAGCAUGGGCUGUUUAAGAGUGGUGGAUUCAUCCACACUGUUCAAGACGAGGAAGUUGCUGCUAUUGUGGAAGAGGAAUGCAGAGGAAGAUUCUGGCAACUUUGUCAUCCCUGGAGGGGUCUGUAAUAAUUGGGUCGCUGUUGAUGUUCUAACAGUUAUCCAUAAGUCAAAGUAAUGUUCAUUGUGUUUAAAAACCCUUCUCCCAUGCCAAAAGGAGGAGCGAUGACAUUGUUGGCUCAUAAAUACAAUGAUAUUUUCAUUCAAUAAAUUCAUGUUAAAUGUUUGUUUUUCCAAUUAUUUUCACUUUUUGCUUUUUGCAUGAAAUUGGUGAUCACCAUAAAACCUUAAAAAACAGAAUAAAAUCAAUCUUUUCAUCUGCAUAAUGAUUUGCCUUGUUUGAAUUCUAAAAUCUCUUUAUAUCCAAAAUCAUUAUGCAGGUUGAUCAAACCCAUUGAACAUAAUGAUCCGACACCAUCUCCCAACUUUGAGUCCCCUGUAUUUGAGGCGGAAGAAGAUGAUGUUGAAGAGAUUCCUGACGAGAUCACCCUUCUACUUGAGCACGAAGAAAAUAUCAUUCAGCCGCAUCUUGAGAAUCUGGAAACAGUCAACUUGGGGUCUGAGGAUUGUGUGUGAGAAGUAAAGAUUGGGGCACUCCUGGAAGAAUCUGUUAAGAAGGGGUUGAUUGAGUUGCUACGAGAAUACGUCGACUUCUUUGCCUGGUCAUAUGAAGACAUGCCUGGUCUGGAUACUGAUAUCAUACAACAUUUCUUGCCUUUAAAGCCUGAGUGCGUGCCUGUGAAGUAGAAGCUCAGAAGAACUCAUCCCGAUAUGGAAGUGAAGAUCAAAGAGGAAGUUCAGAAGCAAAUUGAUGCGAGGUUUCUGGUGACUUCUACAUAUCCUCAAUGGGUGGCCAAUAUUGUGCCCGUGCCUAAGAAAGAAGGAAAAGUCCAAAUGUGUGUGGACUAUAGAGACUUGAAUAAAGCUAGUCAGAAAGAUGAUUUUCCUCUACCACACAUUGAUAUGUUGGUAGAUAAUACAACUAAAUUCAAUGUCUUCUCGUUUAUGGACGGAUUUUCCGGAUAUAACCAGAUUAAGAUGGCACCCGCUACACUUAACAAUUUCUCUUAAGUGUGCAGGAUUCUAAGUUAAAAUGACUCUGAUAAGUCAUCUUCUGAUCUUCAAGAAAUGAAUAUAUGGCAUCUGAUUAGCCCAGAAAAGCUGACCCAACACAAAGAGAAAUUAGAUCUGAAUAUAAACAGAAUGCAUCUGAAGAGCAAUCAACUGAAGAAUCUGACUCUGAAGUUCAAGCUCUGAAUCUGAAGACUACAAGAGAUAUCUGAAGCCUGCAAGAGAUAUUUGAAGACUCUACAAGAGAUAUCUGAAGACUGCACUAAAUAUCUAGAGACUCUAGCUCUGAAGACUCUGAUCAUGCUCACUCUGACACAUGCUUAACACACAAUCAAAUAUCACCUAAUCAAAAACUUACGCUAAAAGUAUUUAAAUUGGAGUAUAAUUCCUUUUAAGGAAACAAUGGAUUACGCUCGAAGAAUGCUAUGGAAAGGAUAAGAAAUUUACUACCUUUAACUCCCACAGCUGGCACGAAAUCUCCAUUGAUUUCCCCCCAACGGUAUCAUUUCAAGUACUAUAUAAAAGCCUCCUUACAACUUGCUAAAGACAACUUUUGACACAACAACAUUCUCAUACUCCAAAUAUUUUCACUAUCAUUUUUGUAAGAAAUAGUUUCCAUACAAGAGUUGUUGCUCAAUAUUAUGUGGAUGGGUUUCAUCGUUCUUAAAGUGUGUUUAUACUACUUAUCUAGAAGCAUCUAGUCAAACACUUGUAUUCCUAAAAUUGUUUGUAAUUCCUCAAGUGACUUGUUUAAGUCUGUAGACUUGAUAGGUCUAAGAGGUUUUUGAACUCUUAGACGUAUUUUGUAAUCUGUUGAGAUUAGUGGAUUAAGUCCUUAUUGAAGGGGAAAUCACCUUGGCCGGGUGGACUGGAGUAGCUUUGAAUUUCAAGCGAACCAGGAAAAAUUCUUUGUGUUGUUAGUAUUUUUUGUGUGUGUGUGGUGUUGCAAAAAUUUAUAAUUCCUAUGAAAAGAAUUGAAACCCCCUUUCUUGGUUUUCUCUACCUUGAAUUAGUAUCAGAGCUUCGGAUCUAUUAUUGAUUUUUGAAUCAAACACUUAACCGUGUAGAGAGACCCAUGGUGAGAUAAACUUCAUGGAUAACACAAACGAAAGAGAUAAAUACAACACAAAACCUCCAGUCUUUGAUGGAGAAAAAUUUGACUACUGGAAGGACAAAAUUGAAAGUUUCUUCCUAGCUACGAUGCUGAUCUCUGGGAUAUGGUUACAAAUGGUUAUGAACCACACAUCUUUGCAAUUGAUAUUUUUAUUCCAAGAAGAAGAAUGAGUGACGAUCAGAAGCUUGAUUUCAAGAAUCAUCAUAAAGCAAGAACCAUUUUUUUAAAUGUUAUUUCCUACAACGAGUACAAGAAGAUAACCAACAGGAAACAACCAAAUAUAUUUUUGAAUAUUUGAAAAUGACGCACGAAGGUAACAAUCAAGUUACAGAGACUAAGGCUCUGGCCUUAAUACAGAAGUAUGAAGCCUUCAGAAUGGAAGAUGAUGAAGCUAUUGAAGUAAUGUUCUCAAGGUUCCAAACCUUGGUUGCAUGACUCAAAGUUCUGGACAAAGAAUAUACUACAUCAUAUCAGGUCAAGAAGAUAAUCAGAAGUCUUCCUAAGAAGUUGAGACCUAUGGUUACUUCUUUGAAGUUAUCCAAGGAAUUGAACAACAUAAGUAUUGAAGAACUUAUCAUCUCCUUCAUAAGUCAUGAAAUAGAGCUUGAAGAAUAUGAACCUCAGAAGAAAAGGAAAUUCAUUGCUCUAAAGUCUAGAUCAGAAAGAAGAAAUCCAGAAAGGAACAAAGCCUUUCAAGAUGAAGAGAAAGAAGCUGAUGACUCUAAGAAUGAAGAUUCUGAUGAUAAAGAAGAAUUGUCUCUUCUUUCUAGAAGAAUCAAACAGCUCUAGAGAAAAAGACAAAACAACUUCAGAAGGUCCAGAAAGAAGGGAGAUCAUCUAGAUUCAACCUCUAGAGGCAGACCCAAUAAGGAAGUAACAUGUUAUGAAUGCAAAGAGUCUGGACACUACAGAAAUGAAUGUCCAAAGCUAAAGAAGGAUAGCUCCAGAAAGGAAAGGUUCAAGAAGAACUCAUUCAAAUCAAAGAAGAAAAGACUCAUGGAAACAUAGGACGACUCUGAAUUUGAAGCUUCAGAACCUGAUUCUGAAGAGGAGAAAGAAAAUGUAGCAUUCAUGGCCACUACCUCUGGAAGUUCAUCUGAAACAGAGUCUGACUCUGAAGAGGUAUUCUCUAACUUUUCUCGUUCUGAUCUGGAAGCCUGUUUGUCGGAAUCUUUAAGCUUGUAUCAUAAGCUUCGACAGAAAUUCAAGAACUUGAAAAAGGUUCAUGAAGAGACUAUUGAAGAGUGUGAUAAGCUUGAGAAAGAAGUUUCUGAACUCAAAGAAAAUAAUUUUAUUCUUUAAAUAGAAAAGUAAUUUUCAACUAAGAAUUGUUCGGAACUUGAGGAAACUCUUUCUAAAGCUCCACCUACUUCUGACUCUAUCAUAUACAAAUAUGAUAAAGCUUUUCAUAAAUUUCGGAACAACAACCUAGAAAGAAGCAAAAUGGAUUAUAUGAUCUAUGGUGUAAGUCAUAAUAGAAAAGGAGGAAUUGGUUAUGACUUUGAUGACGAUGAUAAAAAACCUUCUAUAGAAAACAAACCAAAAUCUCCUUUCUCUUACCAUUAUACACCUGCACAGACACAAAAGUUUAGUAACGCUAGAAAACCCAAUGUUUUAAAAAACUCUGGGAAAACUAAUCCUAAAGGACCCAAAAGAUUCUGGAUAACAAAAGAUAAAAUAGUGUAUGUUAUAGAUAUCCUUUGCAGUAGAGUUAAAACACUAGUCAUGGUACCUGGACUCUGGAUGCUCGUGACACAUGACGGGAAGAAAUCAUUUGUUCCAAGACCUGGGACUUAAAGGUGCUGGUUUCAUAGACUUUGGAGUAAAUCAGAAAGGAAGAAUCAGAGUAUCUGGAACAGUUGGUCACAUAUCUCUCCCCUCUAUUUUUGAUGUUCUUUAUGUUGAGGGAUUAAUGCAUAAUUUGUUAUCCAUAAGUCCAUUAAGUGAUAAUAGUUAUGAUAUUACUUUUAAUCAAAAAAUGUGCAAGGCUAUCAGUGAGAAAAAUGGCACAGUCCUUUUCACUAGGAAGGGGAAAACAACAUUUAUAAAAUAAAACUUUCAGAUUUGAAAAACCAAAACGUGAAAUGCUUGAUGUCUGUUAAUGAAGAGCAAUGGGUGUGGCAUAGACGCUUUAAUUUCUCAUCCAAAACCAUAAUCAAUGAGACUAAUGUGGCUAAGCACUUCUGGGAAGAAGCUAUGAAUACAACAUGUUACAUUUAGAAUAAAAUGUCUAUCAGACCUAUUCUGAAGAAGACUCCUUAUGAACAGUGUGUAGCUGUAAAUUCAUGACCAUCAAGCUAUGGAUAAGCUUGGUGUUAAUGAAACUAGAGUCGCCACCGCGCUUUUAUUGUUUCCAAAGGAAAAGGGAAAAGUACGAACAAAACCCAAAGAUAAGAAGUUUUCAAAUCAAAACUAAUAAAAUGCCAGAGAUUACAGGUAAGAGGGUUGGUUACAGUCGCCACCGCGCUUUUAUUGUUUCCAAAGGAAAAGGGAAAAGUACGAACAAAACCCAAAGAUAAGAAGUUUUCAAAUCAAAACUAAUAAAAUGCCAGAGAUUACAGGUAAGAGGGUUGGUUACACAAAGGGAAGGUGUUAGCACCCAAAGUGUCCUAGGUACUCCUAGGUGUAAGACCCUAAUUUUGACUCUAAGAUCCCUCAUGGCAUCAUAUCUGUUGAUAUUUGUAAAUGUAAUAUUAAGAAUAUUUGUAUAUCGAAUAGUCCCACAUCGACUAUAUCAUGUAAUUAGUUAUAAUCUCUCUAUAUAAAAGAAAGUCUCCGUAGUGCUUUUCAAGACACACGGUUUAUUCAAAUGUCUCUUAGUCUCCGAAUUCAACAUUGUAUCUAGAGCCUGCUAAGAGACAAUUCUUUCUUCGCCGUACUUUACCCGGUUGACCCACUGUCUUCCGGUGAGAAUUUUUUUACAAACCGUGUCAUCACUCCGGUUUGCUUCUCACUUUUCAAAAUUCUCCGGUAACCUACCAGCAGAAGCGCCUCUUCCGAUCCAGCCGUUCCCCACUUUUCAUCGGCAGAAACCUCCGCACGUGAUAGCACGUCUGACGGCCGAUCCCGACAAUUUUUCCACCGCUCCACUCUACAUAGGGCAAUUGUUUCAGAUCCGAUACUCAUGGCUACUCCUCAUAAAUUUACGCCAAACCACGAUGAUUUCCUCAGGUGGUAUCAGAAUUAUCAGAACUUAGAUUCUACUGCUUCGGUAGCACACACUGGUAAUUCAUCUGCUUGUCUCUCUCAAUCAUCUUCUCUUGAAUCUUGGGUCCUUGAUUCUGGUGCGUCUGAUCAUGUUACCGGUAAUAAAAAUCUUUUCUCUUCCCUCUCUACAUCCGGUUUCUUACCUACUAUAACUUCUGCCAAUGGUUCUCAAACUCGAUCCAAAGGGAUUGGUACUGUUCGAAUUCUACCUUCUCUCUCGGUUACUUCUGUCCUCUAUGUACCUAAUUGUCCUUUUAAUUUACUUUUAGUCAGUCGUUUAACUCGUUCACUUGAUUGUAGUCACUACGCCAAAUAAGGGAAAAGAGGGUGCUUAUUUUGGCCUAUAACAGUGCUUUUAAGCGCCCUCUAAAGUGGCGCUGGCAUAGGUAAAGACAGCGCUUUGUUUUCCUGGAGAAAACACUCUCUAAAGUGGCCCUUUAAGGGCCACAUUAUAGUGCGCUUUCAGAAAAAAGCGCCCUCUGGAGUGGUCCAUAAAGGGCCACCUUAGAGGGCGCUUUCUGGACAAAGCGCCCUCUAAAGUUGUCAAUGUAAAGUGUUUAGAGGGCGCUUCUACAGAAAGCGCCCUCUAAAGUGUUAGUUAUUUAAAAAAAUUUGUUUGAAAAAUAGUGGGUAUUUAAUUGGGAACCUGUUCGCAUGCUGCAAAAGUGUAAAAUUCAUAUUGAUUUCAUCCUUUAAUCCAAUGUUAUACACCAUUAAUCCAUUGAUAUAUACAACAUGAAUCCAUUUAUAUACAACAUUAAUCCUCCAUAUAUACAACAUUAAUAUAUUGAUAUUCAGCAUGUACAACAACAUUCCAUACAUAUAUGUAUAACAACUACAACCUAUAUGAUUCUAUGAUCAAUAAUGAAUUGACACAAUUCAUCCUUCAUUUCAUCCAAAUGAGCUCUUGAGUAAGAUUUGUAUUCGUCAAAGUACUACAAUUAAGAGAAUAAAACAUAUUCAUGAUUUAAUAACAAAUUAGAUGAAUAUCCGUAAUAUUAAAAUAAACCCUAAGUUAUUAUUCCAUACCAUUUUUGGGAUGUCUAUACGAUUCAACGCAAUGAUAUCUUCAUAAAUCUCAAUACAAAAAAUCCGCAAUCGAUCGAAUUGUUUUGCUGAGGACACUACACAGAAAAACAAACAAAACAACAAACAAACAAUAUAUAUAUAUAUAUAUAUAUAUAUAUAUUAAUAUAUAUAUAUAUAUAUAUAUAUAUAUAAUAUAGUUAAUUUCUUACAAACACUAUUAUAAGCAAAAAACAAACACUAUUAUAAGCAAAAUAAGAAACUUAAUAUAUACCUGAACUCUGACCCAGGUAAGUCCUUCCUAUUACGAUAAUUCUUUUUCGAUCUAAAUUUUAGUAUUGCCCCUAAACAAAAUAAAAACGUAUAUUGAGAUCAAUCUGACAGACAUAAUUAAAUAUACAAAUACACACGAAUAUUUAGGGGAAUUUCCUUACGCGUCAACCGUCUUCUUCAUACUCGGAUAUUACUCCAAUCAUCCGGUAACGAAUCGAGAUAAUACACCAUAGUUCUCGAAAGAUCCAUAGCAACCAACACCAGUGACCACUGUAAAAUAAAACAAAAAUUUAGAUGCAUGAAAUUUCUACGUAAAAGAUUACAUAGAUUAGAAUGAAAUUAUUAGAAAGAAAAUCUAACCCGUUGCCAGAACUAAACGGUAAAAAAUACAAACUGGGUGUAGUAUUAUCGCCGGCCCCAUGAAUCUAUCGACUAGUUCAUUCAUUACAGAUGUUGGUUUUUCGUUAUAACGUUGUGUUUGAUACGGAGCAGCAAUAAAAUUGAAUCGGUUACACAAUUCAGUCCCGCAUCAAUGUGUCAUACAUAUACCUUAAAUAGAAACAUAAUAAACAUUAGACUACUCAUUGAAUGUGUAAAUAAUAUGUUCAACUAAGUAAAUAAUAGAUUAAUCGGAGUACCAUAUGUAUGUAUGAAUGACAGCGAUGCCCAAUUCUUCGUGUUCAAAAAGUUGUUGCAUGUCCUCCUUUGCAAUUAAUUCGGAAUGAGCAAUUCCGAAAACACCUUCAUCCAUAUCUACACUACGGAUGGGCGCCGUGCAUAAUAUCUGACUCUUCCACCAUUUUCUAAGACGCAUCAUAAUUGAGAUUUUGUCCCGGACGUCGUUGGAAUUUCCUUACUAGCUUUGUCCAACAUUUGACCGGGAACUAAAAAUAUAAAUUAAAUCAUGACUUUUUGUGAUGCAACAGAAUCGUUGUGUAUAAAUUCAAUGGGUAUAUAUAUUUGUACCUCUUUUGAGAUUUAGGAUUUGUUUUGUCCUGGACUUCGUUGGAAUAUCCUUACCAGAUUUUUUCAACAUUCGACCGGAACCUAAAAAUUCAUAUAAAUUAAAUCAUGACUUUUUGUGAUGCAACAGAAUCGUUGUGUAUAUAAUUCAAUGGGUAUAUAUAUUUGUACCUCUUUUUGAGAUUUAUGAUUUGUUUUUGUCCCGGACUUCGUUGGAAUAUCCUUACCAGCUUUUUUCAAACAUUCGACCGGGAACCUAAAAAUUCAUAUAAAUUAAAUCAUGACUUUUUGUGAUGCAACAUAAUCGUUGCGUAUAUAAUUCAAUGGGUAUAUAUAUUUGUACCUCUUUUGAGAUGCAACCGCUCGAUGCGUCUUGAAAUCCCUUUACCAGCUUUAUGUGUGGGUUCUUGUAGAGUCUAACAUUACCAUGUAUAAGGAUUGAUUAAAUAUCAUAAUUGUAGCUGAAUUGAAAUGUGAAUUAAAUAUUCAUAAUCAUUUAGAACAUAUAUACCUCGGCAUCUGGGAAAAUUAGAUCUGACGGCCAUCCAACAAAGGAUCCGACUGCAUCUCGCGUCAACGUUGUCUCUGAAACAACGUCAGGUAAUGGUAGAAGCGCGUCCGUAUCUAAUACAAGGUCAACCGAAACUUUCAUAUAUCCCACCGGGAGGGGAUUAUGGUGAAGUAAUUCACCCGAAGUGUUGUGCACUUUUCCCUUGCCAACUAUGCGAUAAGUUGGUGACGAUAGAUACAGCUGACAAGGUGUAAUGCCCUAAACAUAAUAAAAUAUGUAUUGUGUAACGUGUAUAUGUGUCAAGUAAAAAGUGCUAUUUUAAUUUCAUAAUAACAUAUAUAAUUACCUCGGGAAAUUUCGGUUGACAAUUGAUACUAGCUCGGUCACUAGUAUCUUUUGCCUCGGAACCGCGCUUUCCUCUCUAUACCUUGCAUUCUCCUUUUGCAGUUCGAGUACUUGUGCCCUUAACUCUGCCAAGGUCUCCAUCACCUCUUUGUUGGUAGGAUUUUUUGUUUUUGGUUUUUUAUAAAAUGACGACGGAGUCACACCAAAACCCUUACCCUCAAACGACCGGAAUACUUCAGGAACAUUUAGUACUCGACUAAGUAGGCUCCUGCAAUCCUGGACCUCGGUUGAAGGUAAGGUUUGGGAUAAAGUCUCCUGAAAUAUAUUAGAGGAGAUUAAAAAAUGAUAUAUGUCUAACAAAUUUUCGAUAUAAUUAAAGAAAUAAUGUUAUAUUAUACUUACACAUUCGUCAUAAUAUUUUGAACCACUUCAACGACAACCCCAUCUUCCCAACCCGAGCAGGCCUUCCACAAUACGUGCUCCGGAAGAGAUGUUGCGUCACUUUUCUCCUAGGCUAGCUACAACAUUGAAUCAGAUUAUAAGAUCAUCAAUUAUAACAUAUUGUGACAAUGUAUAAGCUCAUAGCAUUUGAAUAUACUCACAAUUCUUUGUUGUAACCGUGCAUAUCCCGUACGCCUUUUUUGUACGGAUGCGCGGGUUUUGAUGCCCUUUUCCGAUUUUUUGUCGCUUACUUCCUGGAUAAAAAGUUUAAGGCAUAUCAGAACCAAGUAAACUUAACAAUUGUAAUAAUACCAUAAUUAAUAGACAUUACAUGGAAUUUUUCGUUUCUUCAUUUGGCGACAAAGUUAUCCCAUUCUUCGGCUGAAAUAAUCUCCGCAUACUUCAUUGGCUGUUCUGCUUCAACAAAUUUUCCUUCCUCAUCCUUGAGAAAUUUGUUGGACAAAAAGGAUCGAAAUCCUCGGAGUCUUUUUCCGGCCAAUUGAACAAAUAUUUUUGCCGGCUUUCAUCGAUGUGAAAGGAUCUCUAAAAAACAUACACAUGGAGUGUGUUAUUAUAAGUAAUAUUAUAACAAUAUAUGGUCAACAAAUAGUCAACAAAAAAAACAUAUAACAAUAUAUGGUAAGUACCUGUAUCUCGGACCAUAUUUUUCUUUGCCAACCUUCAAUUCUGGACUUCUCCAAUUAUCACAUGUAAUCGGAAUAUGUUGUCGAACAAGGAAACCAUGUAACUUGCCAACAUUGAACCGUUAGGCUCAAUUAGUUGGUCUUCAACACUCCAAUGUACUUCGAAUUUUUCACCCUUGUCUCUUGCACGAAUGAUUGACUUCAUAACAGUCAAUCCUCGUUUGAUUUCAUUUUCAACAUUAUUACGUGAUCCACUCGCGUCAUGGGUAUCGUGUUGGUUACUAGCCAUUUUAUCUGUAAUAUAGAAAUGAUUCAUAAGACCCAAGUAAGACAAUGACCAUAUCGUGAAGCUACACAAAAAACACAUUCAUAUACCUUCCAUUUCUCUCAUGUACAGCAAUCUAAACUCUCUCUUUUUUUCAUCAUUAUUGAAUACAAACUCACACACACCUACUGCAUACAAAAGACCAAUGCAAACUUAUGGUGUUUGGAACAUGAACAAACUUGCAUCCAUAAUCAUCAAACUUCCAAGCAACAGCUCAAACACCACCCAAAUGACAUCAGUUUUCAAUCAGAAAUAAAACCUUACAUAACCAUACAACUACAACAUUCAGUGAUCAAAAACCAUACACAAAAAAUAACAAAAAAUAAUUUUCAACAAGGUGCUCAUAAACACCAUAUAGUGCUCGUUUGCCCUAAACAACAUUAAUCAACAUAAUGCACAAAAUGUAAAACUCAGUUUAGAAAAUGCCCUAAUCAAACACCUGAAAAUCAAACUAUUGAGAGAAAUACCUUCGGUGACGGUAACGAUGGAGAAGAAAGUGAAGCGACGGUGGACGCAGAUAACUCAUGUGAACGUGAACGCAGCAGCAGAAAAAGGUGACGACGACGACGACGGUGAGGGAGGGAGAAGAAUGGAGGACGAGGUAAUCGCAGUAGAGAGUAAUCGCAGUAGAGAGAAAACCCAGUUACGUAAACGAAUAGCAUAUAGCGAGGGAAAAUAAAGAGACAUGCAGUAUAUGUUAUAAUUUUAAUGUUUACUAAAGGGACCUUAGAGGGCGUUGUGUAAAAAGUUCCCUCUAAAGGGGGCUAAGAGGGCGCUUCUAAAAGCGCUCUCUAAGGCUUCCAAAAGCGCCUUAUAAACUGGAAUAGUACAUGGACUUAGAGACGGCUUUUUAAAGCGCCCUCUAAGGGUACCCUUAGAGGGCGCUUUCAUAAACGCGCCCUCUAUUGUGUCCUCCAUUUCCUCAUUAUUUUUCGCUUCACUUUGAGGGCGCUUUGUUACAAAAAGCGCCUCUUCUAAAGUGCACUGUCUAUUCCAGUUGUUCGCUCCUUAUUUUUUCUCUUCACUUUAGAGUGCGCUUUUGUAAUAAAGCGCCCUCUAAGGUGCGCUGUCUAUUCCAGUUUUUGGCGUAGUGAGUGUCUCCUUCAUUAAUAAUAAUGUUACCCUGCAGGAUCAGAGUUCGGGACGGACGAUUGGUGUCGGAUGUGAGUCUCAAGGCCUUUAUUACCUCUCAGUCUCAUCUUAGACAUGCUUAGCCAAAGAUUCUCCACUCACUAUCCAUGCUCAGUUAGGUCAUCCCAGUCUUUCCAAACUACAUAAGUUGGUGCCAAAUUUAUCGAAGGUAUCUAAUUUACAUUGUGAGUUGUGUCAGCUAUGGAAACACACCCGUGGUCAGUUUCCCAAUCGAGUCAAUAAACGAGCUUCGUCCCCUUUUGCUUUAGUUCAUACCGAUGUUUGGGGUCCCUCGCGUACUGUCUCUACUCUUGAGUCUAGGUAUUUUGUCACCUUUAUUGAUGAUUUUUCACGUUGCACGUGGUUAUUCUUAAUGAAGAAUAGAUCUGAAUUAUUUUCUAUUUUUGAACAUUCCAUCGAGAAAUAAAAACUCAAUUUGUGUGUCUAUUCGUACCUUAAGAAGUGACAAUGCCCAUGAAUAUUUACCAACAAUUUCAAAAUUCCAUGUCACGCAAUGGUAUUCUCCAUCAAACAUCUUGCCCUCACACACCUCAACAAAACGGGGUAGCCGAACGCAAAAAUCGGCAUCUUGUAGAAACCACUCGGACCCUACUUCUCGCAUGGAAUGUUCCACUUCGGUUUUGGGGGGAUGCUGUGCUAACGACAUGUUAUCUUAUAAAUCGCAUGCCCUCAUCUGUCCUUAACAAUAAAAUCCCUCAUUCAAUCCUUUUUCCCAAUUCCCCAUUUCACCCAAUUCCUCCCCGAGUCUUCGGAUCCACAUGUUUUGUACACAAUCUCUCUCCUGGUCUUGAUAAACUCUCAGCUCGAUCACUAAAGUGUGUCUUUCUUGGUUAUCAUCGAUCCCAAAAAGGUUAUCAUUGUUAUUCACAUACUCUAUAACGAUACCUAGUAUCGGCCGAUGUUACCUUCUUCGAGUCGGUUCCAUAUUUCGAGUUUAGUCAUGUAACUUCAUAACCCAUUCAAGAAAGUACUCCCACACCUUUUCCGGUAGUUAUUAAUGUCCCGCCUACCAUUAUCCCCCAUCAGUCUAGGGCUCCUGACCCACCCACUUCUCGACCACUUCAAACAUAUCAGCGUUGUCACCCAAUGCCUGUCGUCCCUGUCCCUGAGGUCAUACCUGUCCCUGAGGGCAUUGCAGACUCUCCUCCGACGCCUCCGCCAUCACCGGAUCUGAUCCUGCAACCUGAGUCUGAUCUUCCGAUUACCCUUCGAAAAGGUAUACGUCAAACACGAAAUCCUUCUCCACAUUAUAUUGAUUUAUGUUAUCAUCGUCUUUCCCCUUUGCAGUAUACUUGUUUGUCUUAUUUGUCUUCUGUUUCUAUUCCUAAAACUCCAUGUGAAGCAUUAUCUCACCCUGAGUGGAGGCAAGCAAUGAUUGAUGAAAUGUGUGCUCUUCAAAGCAGUGGUACCUGGGAACUAGUUCUUCUACCCCAUGGGAAAUCUUUAGUUGGUUGUUGUUGGAUUUAUACAGUGAAGGUUGGUCCAGAUGGUAAGAUUGAUCGAUUUAAAGCUCGCUUGGUAGCCAAAGGAUACACUCAGAUUUUUGGAUUGGAUUAUAGUGAUACCUUCUCCCCUAUAGCCAAGAUGGCAUCUGUUAGACUUCUUCUAGCCAUUUCAGCCAUUCGACAUUGGCCUCUUCAUCAACUUGACAUCAAAAAUGCUUUUUUACAUGGUGAUCUUGAAGAGGAAGUAUAUAUGGAGCAACCACCUGGAUUUGUUACUCAAGGGGAGUCAUCGAAUAUGGUGUGUAGGUUACACAGGUCUCUUUAUGGUCUUAAGCAAUCUCCGAGAGUUUGGUUCGGCAGAUUCAGCACUACAGUACAAUAAUUUGGUAUGGUUUGUAGUGAAGCUGACCAUUCUGUUUUUUAUCGUCACUCAGCCCAAGGGUGUAUUUAUCUUAUUGUGUAUGUAGAUGAUAUUGUCAUAACUGGUAGUGAUCAGCAGGGUAUACUCCAGUUAAAGAAACAUCUCUCAAAUCAAUUUCAGACAAAAGAUCUUGGUAAACUUCGUUAUUUCUUGGGUAUUGAGGUAGCCCAAUCUAUAGAUGGUUUAGUGAUUUCUCAACAGAAAUAUGCUAUGGAUAUUUUGGAAGAAACAGGUUUGUUGAAUGCUAAACCAGCUGAUACUCCUAUGGAUCCAAGUGUCAAACUACUACCCAAUCAGGGAGAGCCUCUAUCUGACUCAGGAAAGUAUAGAAGAUUGGUUGGAAAGUUGAAUUAUCUCACAGUCACUCGUCCAGACAUUUCUUUUGCAGAUAGUGUGGUAAGUCAGUUCUUAAACUCCCCUUGUCAGGAACACAUGGAUGAUGUUAUCUAGAUUCUGAGAUACAUCAAACGUGCUCCGGGAAAAGGUCUAGCGUAUGAAAAUUAAGGACAUACUCAGAUAGUUGGAUACUCCGAUGCUGAUUGGGCAGGGUCACCCAUUGAUAGACGAUCCACCUCUGGGUAUUGUGUACUUGUUGGAGGAAACCUUAUAUCCUGGAAAAGUAAGAAACAAUGCUGAUUGGGCAGGGUCACCCAUUGAUAGACGAUCCACCUCUGGGUAUUGUGUACUUGUUGGAGGAAACCUUAUAUCCUGGAAAAGUAAGAAACAAAACGUAGUUGCAAGAUCAAGCGCCGAGGCAAAGUAUAGGGUCAUGGCAAUGGCAACAAGUGAACUUAUUUGGUUAAAACAGUUGCUCAAGGAACUUCAAAUUGAAGAAGCAAGACCAAUGACACUUAUUUGUGAUAAUCAAGCCGCAUUGCACAUUGCUUCAAAUCUAGUCUUCCAUGAGAGGACCAAACAGAUUGAGAUAGACUGUCACUUUGUCAGAGAGAAAAUCGAAUCAGGUGACAUCGUUACAAACUUUGUCAACUCUAAUGAUCAAUUGGCAGACGUGUUUACAAAAUCUCUGCGAAGCCCUAGAACUAAUUAUAUAUAUGUAACAAGCUUGGUGCAUUUGACUUAUAUGCUCAAGCUUGAGGGGGAGUGUUGAUAUUUGUAAAUGUAAUAUUAAGAAUAUUUGUAUAUCGAAUAGUCCCACAUCGACUAUAUCAUGUAAUUAGUUAUAAUCUCUCUAUAUGAAAUAAAGUCUCCGUAGUGCUUUUCAAGACACACGGUUUAUUCAAAUGUCUCGUAGUCUCCUAAUUCAACAAUAUCAUUGCUCAUUGCAUUGCCUCAAGGAUCAUAGCAUGUGUGGCUCCUUAACCCUAGGGUUGAGACUUGUGUGAGUUGGUUUGAGACCACCAAGCAUGCUUGAAUUGUAUAUCAUUGCUUUUCUUAUUUUGUUUACUAACCAAAAGCACAAAAAUAUGUCACUAACCUCUUUUGUUUUGAAGCUCAAGUGAUCACAUGUGCCCUGACUCCUAGGAGGCUCCUAUGCUCAUUGAAAUGGCUAGAUGAAGAUGAAAGCAAGCAUGACAAUGGUUCCCAAAGCUCUCAAUCAUCAUAUAUGUCUCCCAAGCAUCUUAAUUUGCCAAUUUGAUCAAGAUAAACCAAAGGGCUUGAGGAUUGUUUCCCAAGGAAACCCUAAUUCAGCUGUGCAUUGAUUGUGCCUUGCUCAUGAAGCAACCUCAACCUAUGAUCAAAUUUAAUCAAGGGAAGUUCUUUAAUUCAUUAUUUUAUGCAUAUAUGAGCCUAUGUGAGUAUCCUCAAUCAUUCAUUCAAUGAAGCAACCUCAACCUAUGAUCAAAUUUAAUCAAGGGAAGUUCUUUAAUUCAUUAUUUUAUGCAUAUAUGAGCCUAUGUGAGUAUCCUCAAUCAUUCAUUCAUCAAGAUUUGAAGUUUGACCUUGAGAAGUUGACCAGUCAAGUCAUCUGACUAAAUUGUGAUCCACUAAGACCUAACUUUUGAUGUGUUUGUCAAAUGAAGAUGAUCCCAAGAGAAACAAUGUUCUUAAUAACCAUAUGAACAACUUUCAUGUUCAUCAAAAAUCCAUUUUAAACAUGGAAGGUCAUCAUUCAUUUCAAAACAUUAUAGGUCAUUUUGACUGAAACCCUAAUUUUGAGUCAACUUCCCAAGGACCUAUCUUCUUCAUUUUUCAUGAUUUUGAGGUGAGACAAAUUGUAUUGGAAAUCUUAAGAUGUUUAAUUCAAAUGUUAUGUUUGACAAAACCUCAUAAUCCUAAAAUAAGUACAUGUGAUAAUACAAAACAUUAUAGGUCACUUUGGACCAAAACCAUUGAACGUUGAAAAUAUCCAACUUCAAGUGACCAUAACUUUCUCAUCAAAAAUCAAAACGAUGGAACAUUUAAGUCCAAAUUGAUCAUCUUGAGAAGAUCUACAACUUUUAUGUUUAAAGUUUUUCCAUUUGAGGCUUGCAUCAUUGAAUCAGAAGGGCUAGAAGUUGGUCACUUUUGGAUUUUUUUUUCAAAGGGAACUUAUAUAUCUUUUGUACCUCAAACUUCAAGGCCAGUUUUCACAAAUUCCAAACUCCAAAUCGAUUUUUGUCCAACAUAGCUUUUGUUCCUUAUGUCAAGACCUUUCCAACCAUUACUCACACGCCUAUGUUUGGAUUUUAUAUGUGUGACUUUCAAAGAGGUGAACAUUUAGGCCCAAUUAUGCAUUUCACUUUGAAUCUUCAUGCACAAGCCAUUGCAGUUCAAAUUGCACGUCCAAUUCAAUUUGGUAUGAUCUCAGCUGGUGAUUACACUCAAGUUUGGGCCUCACAUGCGCCUGUACAGGCCCAUGCAUGGAGGACCCAAAGCUUCAUGCACACGAAUUCUACACUUGCUUGCUUGCAGCUCAACUAUAAAUACAAUGCCAUGCUCAUUCCAAAUUCAACCUUAAGGCAACUUGAAGCUCUGCAGAAAUCCAUACCCAACCUUACCAAAGGAAUUUUGAUUUUUAUUUUCUCAAUUCAAGCUUGAAUUUCAACAAAAUCAGUUGAUCUUCAAGACUUAUUCCUUAGCCUUGCAUUCAUAUCACAUCUCAAGAACAAAUUGGAAGCAAAAGUUGGAAGGAAUCGUGUUGAUCAAAGAUGCUCUCCAAAGGUGUAUGAUCCAACUGUUUGGGUCUGAAUCUCAUCAUAUAAUGUGAAUUGCUUGUGUUCAAAUGGUUUUCUGAAGUCCUCGUGCAAGAGGCAAGCCAAUGGUGGCUUUGAUUUCAUGUUUUAAAGCACUUCAGUUUACACACCUUGAAUUUCCAGCUCAGAUUUCUCACUUGAUAGAGAUCUUGAGGACAAUCCAAGGUUACAGGGGUGAUGUACAUCACCCCAGCUUCAUUUUGGUACCACGUUUGUGUAUUUUAGUUGAGGUUCAAAAACCUGCAACUGGUGGCCGGAGUUAGUUGAUCCACCGGAGAAGAUGGUAGUUUCCACCACCAUUCCCACGUGGAUCCUCCUGGGCCUUUGGAUCUCACUCACACGUUCUAAUCGUGGCCACGCUUUCUGUUUACUUUUUUUAAUUCAUGGUGUAACGCGUAUGACUAAUGACCAUGGUACGCGUGCGCUUCUGGACCGCUUGAUGUGUCCACGUCAAUUAAUGAACUCAAUCAAGCGCUUCCUGAUUUUUCUCUUUUUUCUAAUUUCUGUUUUAGUUUCUUUUAUUCCAUUUAUUUUCCAAAAAUUCAUAACUAUUUUAUUUGGAAUCAUAAAAAUAUGAGACCAACACUAAACUUUUUCUUGAAAAAUCUAGUUUCACAAUCUGAUUUUUAAUUAUUUUUGGGAUUCCAUUUAAUAUUUUUUGUGAAUUAUUUUGUUUUUAAUAGUUUUUUAAUUCAUUUUAACUACUUUUUGAUAUCCAAAAAUUCCAAAAAUAUUUUCCUAACACAUAUGGAUCAUGAUAAAUCUAUGAAAAAUAUUCUCAUCAAUUUCUUAAUUGGUUUGAGAUUUAUUUGAGAUUUUAAUUCAUUUGUGUUAUUUUUCUUUGUUUUUAAUUGUUUUAAAAUAGUUUCUGUUUUCAAAAAAUGUUAGGAAAAUUUGUCAAACCUUGUUUGACCAUUGUAGACUUAUGAUAAUUCAAUUGGACUUACCCAAGUUGAUUUGAAUUGAACUUGAAGUUUGACCUUAUUUUGUUCAUUUUAUUUUAUGCUUUUAUUUUACUUUCAAAAAUACCAAAAAAUAUGUUUGACUUUGUUGACCUCUAAACUUCAUUUCUCUUCUGUUUACCAUUGGUUGAUGAUGAUUCCAUUCACAUUUGAUCAUUGCGCUUUGAUUAUGUCAUUUGAAUUCUUCUCUUUUAUUCAUUCCAUUUCAUCUUCAUCUUCUUAUUUUUAUUUUGGCCAAUGAGUUAAUGAUUUGUGGUUAGUCUUGACAUAUGAGAGGCUUAACCUUCUUUGAUCCAAAUCAAAUUCAACUCGAUCAAAGAUCAAGUGAAUUGCUUUGUGUCAAAGAUAUGUUACUUCUUGGUCAAGCAAAAAACCUAAAGUCCAUACGAGGUUUUUCCUCCCUUUCUUUUGGCAUGGCAAGUUGUAGGAGUUUGGCUUACUAGUCAUGAUCUCUAACUUGUGUUUAUUUUCCUAUAGUUUUAUUGACCGACCUCAGAUUGGUGUGACUACUACAUUAGUCCACUUAAGAUUGCUUAACAUAGCGCUAAAUUGUCUUAUGACACACUAACAUUAACCAUUAACUACUAACUUUAAUUUGCGCAUUUAAUUCUUGCAAUUUACUUUAAUGCAAUUUACUUUCUUGCUCAUUUAUUCAUAUUGCCUUUUCCCUUUGCUCACUUGAGCUCAUAUUUUAUGUUUAUGUCAUUUUUCUUUUUCUCACUUGAGCUUAUUAUUGUAUAUAAAUAUAUUGUUGCUUUGUGUUUGUUUUGAGAUUGUUUGUGUGAACCCAAUGCAAAAAGGAGAAAGGACUUAGAAUUAUGACCUUACGUGUGCUUAAAGGAGUUCAAGAGCAACUAGGCCUCAUGCCUUUAGAAUGCUAAACUUGUUGAAGAGCAACUAGGCCUCAUCGGAAAUCUUACGAUUUAGAAUUUCAACUGAAGUUUCCUGGGGAUUAGUAAACUCAUUCUUUGUCCAUUUCUCUUAUUGUGUUGUGAACUUUUUGAUUGUUUGUUCUUGUGUGAUAGGGAUUCCAAUCUUGAGAUAGUAAGAAGGACCAUUGUCAUGAAUAGCCAAGUUAAGAGAGACAAGCCAAAUGGAGAUCCUAGGAGCUUGAAUUAAUAUUUGUUUGAUUGCUUGAGUUAAUUGCUAAAUCCAAAGGAAAGGAGCAUCUUGAAUCAUCUUUAUGAUCUCAAGAAAAGGAACUCCAAGGGUUUUAUAUCUUCUUUUAUCUUUGCAUGUUUAGGACUAGCCCUUCUCUUCUUCUCCUCACUCUAACCUAAGCCAAACUCAUUUUGUGCAAACUUUGACAUUGUUUUCAAACUAGAAACCUAGGCCUUAUGCCUUUGAUUUUUUCAAACUCUUUUCACUAAUACUUAUUUUGAAUGAACCUUAAGUCAACUUUGACUUCAUUUUGUGAAUACUUCUAAUUUGUAAAUACAACUUACUUCAAGUGAUUUUUGUGGUUCCAAUGGCCACAUUUGUUAAAACAUUUUUUCAUAAACAUUAGUCAUUAGGUUUGAGUUAUCAUAGUGGUUGAUGUAAAUCUCACCUUAUCUUUAGUGAUUGAACUAUAAGUCUUCCAUACUUAUUAUAGGGUGGAUCCCUCACUAGUAUGUUGAAGUUCUCCUCACAUGGUGGAUUGUUGGUUUAGGUUGUGUUUUCUCCCUUUGAUAACAAAAGACCUUAAGGCUUUUGGUCAAAUCAAUUCACCCAUAUUUUGAGAUUUUUACCCCGAACUACGAGGUUUUGAUCCUACCCUUGUGAUGGUACGUAGGCAAUGGGUUUAUCCAUUCAAACAACAAAAUUAGAAAUAAUAUGUAUAUUCUCUUCUCAUCUCCCUAAUCAUGUUUGCACAAAUAAUUUUCACAAAUACCAACCUACAAUACAUCUUUGCAAAAAGGGCUCCCUUAGAGUACUAAGGAUGUUUUGGGUGCUUAAAACCUUCCCAUUGCAUAACCAACCCCCUUACCCAGAUCUCUAACAUUUUUAUUAGUUUUUGAUUUGAUAAAACUUCUUACCUUGUUUCUGUUCGCUUUCUAACCUUUCAUUUGGAUAAAUAAAAGUGCGAUGGCGACUCGAAUUGUAUGCUUACUUUUGAUUUAGUCAAUAAAUCUAAAGGUAACGAAUCCCCCGCUACAGAAAAGUGGCGACUCUGCUGGGGAAGUUAUUCACCCUAGUGGGUUUAGCCUACUUUUUGCCUUUGUUGUAUUGUAUGUUUAUAUUUGUUUGUGACAUAUUUUUGUGCAAAUUUGGGAUGACUGUAUUGUUUGUAAUGUAUGAAUUGCUUGAUAUAUAUCAAUUGCUUGUGUGUUUGGUGGUCUCUUGUGAGAUGAGUUCUAUACCCGAAAUCGAGUGCACUUAUGAUAGGAGAAUGACAUAGUCUUGUUGACUUGUGUGGAGUUAUUCCUUAGCAAGUUGAUUUGCAAGCCCAUUGACUUGGUGGAGGUCUUAUUGGGAUCAAUAAUGUCACACGAGUAGUCGUGGUUAGGCAUUACUCUUUCCAAUAUAUACCUUAGAAGCCAAGGACCUUAGAUUACCUAGCCCAUCUUGGCCUAUUUUAGAGUCGUGGUUAGGCAUUACUCUUUCCAAUAUAUACCUUAGAAGCCAAGGACCUUAGAUUACCUAGCCCAUCUUGGCCUAUUUUAGGACGUAGUGCGAAGGUCGUUCAAGUGUAAGAUUUGAUAUGAUUUUUACGCGAUACUACACUCAUAAGAGUUUCUCUUGAGAAUAUUCUUGGAAUACGAGUAGUCGUUUUAUCCGAUAAUAUCCGAAAGAUGAGAUGAUGACUAUGGGGACCUUUUUAGAACAUGAUUGUCAGUUUUAACCAUAGUACACUCCUUUUGGGUGGUUCUUAACUGAGACUACAUGCUCGUGACUUGCAACAAACCCUUGAUUCACGGUUGAUCCGUUCUUGUAUAUCCUUUAUAUCAAUGGAACUUAGGUGUUGAUAAGGUGUAAACCAUAAUCCACCAAAAUGGAUGAUUGAUAUUGAGGAUGACUUGAUCCAUCCUGUGACCUUUGUAUGGUGUGACUUGCUUGAUCCUUGAGUAUGAUUGUUGCAUCCAUGCAUUCAUGCAUUCAUUUGCAUCCAUAUCAUCAACAAUGAGAAAAUUUCCAAGGAACUUAAGAGGUCUAUUUGCAAAUUUUCAGACAUGGAUAAGCAAAGAAGGAAUACGAAGAAGUACAAUUUCAGACAACCCGACUUGAAAGAGUUAAGGAGUUUGACAUCUUAUGUAUUAGAUCCCUUGGAGUUCAAAGCUCGCCAUGUGAAGCUUCUGUCUAUUCUUUCUACUCAGGUGGAUGAAGGUCUGAUGAGUGUGUUGGUGCAGUUCUACGAUCCUCUGAACCAUUGCUUCACUUUUCCCGAUUUCCAGCUUUUGCCUACACUUGAGGAGUAUGCCUAUCUUGUGGGUAUACCUAUCUUGGAUCAGUUGCCGCUCAGUGGCUUGGAGAGGGUGCCUUCUUCCCAAGAGAUUGUUGAUUUGCUUCACAUAGAUGUAUUUGAUAUUGGUGCUCAUAUGACUUCCAAAGGUGGAAUUCAAGGUCUCCCAUCUGAUUUUCUCAUUGCCUAAGCUACUUUGUUUGGGAAGGCCAUGAGUGAGGAUGCCUUUGAAGCCAUACUCGUGCUGCUCAUCUAUGGGCUAGUGUUAUUCCCCAACAUCGACAAUUUUGUGGAUGUGAACGCUAUUAGGAUUUUCUCUACUCUUAAUCCCAUUCCGACUCUGUUAGGUGACACUUAUUUCUCUUUGCACAUGAGGAAUGCAAAGGAUGGUGGUACCAUUGUGUGCUGUUUUCCUCUGUUGUACAAGUGGUUUAUUUCGCACUUGCCAUAGACGCUUUCCUUCAAGGAGAACAAAGGAUGUCUACGAUGGUCUACGAGACUUAUGUCUCUCACUAAUGAUGAUAUCUUUUGGUACAACCGUGUAUGAGAUGGUGUGCAGAUUAUUGACUCUUGUGGUGAAUUCUCCAAUGUGCCUCUUCUUGGUACAUGUGGUGGAAUUAACUACAACCCUAUUUUGGCUCGCCGUCAGCUUGGGUUCCCCCUUAAAGGAUAAACCUAACAACAUUCUGUUGGAAGGUGUGUUCUUUCAAGAGGGUAAAGAUCCCCAGAACUUGAAGGGCAGAAUGAUCCGCGCUUGGCGUAAGAUUCAUAGGAAGGGAAGGAAAGAGCUUGGUCCGAAGAAUUGUAUUGCUUUGGAACUUUACACCUCUUGGGUGAGAAGGAGAGCGAUUGAGUACCGCAUGCCCUAUGACUAUCCAAGACCUACCCCUAUGGUUAUGGCUGGGCCUUCAACCCUCCCUAACCAAGGAGUAGAGGAGUUGAGAGAUGAAGAUUGUUCGCGUGCUUGGGUUCGUGAGCGAGAAGAGCUACUUCAGCAACUCAGAGAUAAGUAUGUUGUGGUAGAAUUUAUAGAGCAUCAGGUUUUCGAUGAGUCUGAUGAUGUGGUUACUUCUCUUCUUCCUUAGUCAUCCAGGUUUUGGGAAAGGAGGUAUGAUCGACUCGCCAAGGAGAAGGCAGAUAUGGAGGCAGCUUAUGAGAGAGAGGUGAAGAGGCUUCGUGCAGCUUAUCUUCCGAUCUCGAGAGCUUUGGACGAUUGUUUCUUGGGCUCCAUAGGAUGUUUAUUCUCCUUUCCUCUUGUAUUGUAUUUGGUUACCAAGAUUGUACUUCUUCUUUGGUGUAAAUUUUUUUCCAAAUAUUAUUGCUAUGAGUAUUUCAUAUAUGUCUAAAAAGAUUAAUAUUUUCAAAUAUUUGCGAAUAGAUCUUUAUAAAGUUCCUCAAAUAAAAAUAAAUCAUAUGCACAAACAUUGCAUGCAUCAUAUGCACAAACUUUGCUAUUCAUUUAUUUUAAAGACAAGCUGACGCACCGGUAUAACACCAGAUCGAAUCUUCCGAAGCUGAUGGAUCAUCUAGAGCAAAAGAACCGUGAACUGAAAGAGGAGUUAGCUAGGCUGACUGCCAUGAUGGAGUCAGUGUUGGCUGCCCAGAGCCAAUCAUCUCCAACUCAUACAAAUCCUCCUGCGAGGACUGUCAUCUCAGAGGUAGCUUCCUCAAUUGUGCUUGCCGCAACAACUCACUUUGCGCCUACUAUGCCAGCCGGGUUCCCUUGGGGAAUGCCCGCCAACUUUGUGCCUGAGGGUAUUGCUCCGGUCCUUGCUGUGCCACCUGCCGUUGUGCACACCUUACCAAGAGUAGAAGACACCAUCUAUCAUUCUGAGCCAUCUAAGGGCCCAAAUGUUUAUGAGAAGAUGGACGCGAUGAACAAACAAUUCCUUGAGCUACACAAGGAACUGAAGACUCUGAGGGGUAAAGACCUCUUCGGUAAGAGUGCUGCUGAGUUGUGCCUUGUGCCCAACGUCAAGAUCCCUGUUAAGUUCAAAUUACCUGACUUUGAAAAGUACAAGGGAAACACUUUCCCUCUCAUCCAUCUUGUGAUGUAUGCUCGAAAGAUGUCAACACAGACUGAGAACGAUCAACUUCUCAUCCACUACUUCCAGGACAGCCUGUCCGGUGCUGCACUCAGAUGGUACAUGGGUCUGGAUAGUGCGAACAUCCGCUCCUUCAACGAUCUUGGCGAAGAUUUCGUCAAGAAAUCUAAGUACAAUGUUGAUAUGGCUCCUGAUAGGGACCAGCUGACGGAAAUGUCCUAGAAUGAUAAGGAGACGUUCAAAGAGUACGCCCAGAGAUGGCGUGAGUUGGCCGCUCAGAUUGUGCCACCCCUCGAGGAGAAAGAAAUGACCAAAAUCUUUUUGAAGACUUUGAGUUCUUUCUAUUAUGAGAGGAUGAUAGCUAGUGCUCCCUUGGACUUCACCGAAAUGGUGAAUAUGGGGAUGAGGCUAGAGGAAGGAGUCCGUGAAGGACGUCUAUCUAAGGAUGAAGGCUCUUAAGCAAAGCGUUAUGGGGGCUUUGCAAAGAAGAAAGAGGGAGAGGCACAUGAUGUGUCUUCCCAUAUCAAAAGAAGGCCCUCUGUGAAGAGGAAGACUGUUCUCCCUGUCGCCAGCCAACACCAGGUGGCUCAUAUAGCACCUGCCUUCAGAGAAGCUCAACAUUAUCAACAACAACAAUAACAUCAACAAUAUCAACAAGAGCAUCAUCCACAACAACAGGCCUACCAGCCUCGAAACAACAAUAACACCAGCACCAGCUACGAUAGGAAGAGGGUCACUUUUGAUCCAAUUCCAAUGACCUAUGCUGAAUUCUAUCUGUCUCUGAUAGAUAGAAAGUUAAUUACUCCACGUGAUCCUCCCGCUGUAUCGACCAACCCUCAGUGGUGGUACAAGCCUGAAUUACACUGCGUAUAUCAUUUCGGUGCUCCCGGACAUGAUGUGGAGAAUUGCUAUCCCCUGAAGACCAAGGUGCAAGACCUUGUUAGAAGUGGGAUUUUGUUUUUCGAGGACGUAGGUCCUAAUGUCAAGAAGAACCCAUUGCCCGAGCAAUGGAGAAUUGCUAUCCCCUGAAGACCAAGGUGCAAGACCUUGUUAGAAGUGGGAUUUUGUUUUUCGAGGACGUAGGUCCUAAUGUCAAGAAGAACCCAUUGCCCGAGCAUGGGAAAGCUGUUGUGAACAUGGUCCAUGGUUUCCCUGGUAAAUAGAAAGUCCUGUAUGUCAAUGAUAUCAGGCAAUCUUUGGUAGAGAUGCACAGACUGUUGUGUGGAUACAGUCAUUACGAGCAUGACCAUGACAGGUGCCAGGUGUGCACUGUCAAUGAAAAAGGAUGCCGCCAAGUUAGAAAGGACAUCCAAGAGAUGCUGGAUCAGGGAAUGAUCGAGAUACUUCAGAAUUGCAACGAGGAUGAAGUUGAUGUAAUAUCUCCUGUUUUCAGAAUACCAGAGCCUAUUGUCGUCAAAAGUGAUGGCACCAAGCCAGCGGGCCCUAUCUCGUAUUCCUCUGAUAAAGCAGUGCCAUACAGAUACAAUGCAGUUAUGGUAGAAGAUGGGAAGGAGGUGUCGUUGCCUUCCACCUCUGUUGUGAGUAUCUUAGAUGUUAUUGGUGUGACUCGUAGUGGUCGUGUUUUCUCGGCGCCGCUGAAGCCCCACGAAGAUGUCUUGAGAAGAACUGCUGCUGUUAAUCCUGCCGGUCCUCUAGGGACUUCUUCUUCGAAUCUGGCACUUGUUGUGAAGGUAAUUGACCCUGCCAUUGUUGAUAAAUCUGCUAAAGCUCCUGUCCUGGUUGGCCAGCAUGACAAUUUGAAAGAGGACUGUGAUGAGAUGCUGAGGCUCAUCAAGAAGAGUGAGUAUAAUGUUGUUGAUCAGCUGCUUCAAACUCCAUCAAAGAUAUCUGUAUUUUCUUUAUUGAUGAAUUUUGAGCCACACCGUGGAGCUUUGCAGAGGGUGUUGGACGUGUCAUACGUGGAUCAGGAUGUCACAAUUGAACAAAUUGAUAGCAUUGUUGCAAACAUAACUGCUUAUAACAGUAUGAGCUUUUGUGAUGCUGAUCUUUCCGAGGAGGGAAAAGACCACAAUUUGGCUCUACACAUUUCAAUGAAUUGCAAGGACGAUGCCUUGUCUAAUGUGUUGGUAGAAACAGGAUCAUCGCUGAAUGUGUUACCAAAAUCCACUCUAGCCAAACUUUCCUACCAAGGGCCUCCCAUGAGGCAGAGUGGAGUGGUUGUGAAAGCUUUUGAUGGAUCGAGGAAAACUGUGAUCGGUGAAGUUGAACUCCCGAUCAAGAUUGGACCUAGUGAUUUCCAGAUCACUUUUCAGGUCAUGGAUAUACAUCCAUCAUAUAGUUGUUUGCUUGGCAGACCUUGGAUUCACGAGGCAGGCGCCGUGACAUCCACCCUACACCAGAAGUUGAAGUUUGUUAAAAACAAAAAGUUGGUGGUCUAUCCCCCUCUCUUCCGAGAGAACCAAUCGGUAAAUAGAAGGAAUUCCUAUAUAGAUGCUGAGGAUGAGGUUGGGACUCCGUUCUAAGCCUUGUCUAUUGCUGAGCCUUCAAGGAAAGGACCUUCUUCAUUUUCUUCCUACAAUGAUGCGAAGUUGGCCAUUGAGCAUGGUGCAACUACUAGUUUAGGACAAAUGAUUAAGCUGGAAGAUAAUAAAUCCCGGGCUGGCAUAGGGUAUUCUUCAGGCAUUUCCAAUGAUCGUGGGAUGUUCCAGAGUGGAGGUUUCAUCCACACAGUUGAAGAUCAAGAGGCUGCUUCCAUAGUGGAAGAUGAUGAAGAGGAAGAUUCUGGCAACUUUGUCAUCCCUAGAGGAAUCUACAACAAUUGGGUCGCUGUUGAUGUUCCAAUAGAUAUCCACAAGUCCACGUAAUAUGUUCAUUUUGUUUAAAAACCCUUCUCCCAUGCCAAAAUAAGAAGUGAUGACAUUGUUGGCACAUAUUACUACAAUGAUAUUCAUUUAAUAAUUACAUGUUAAAUGUUUGUUUUUCCAAAAAAAAAUUCCUUUUUGCUUUUUGCAUGAAAUUGGUGAUCACCAUAAAACCCUAAAAAUAAAAUAAAAUCAAUCUUUUCAUCUGCAUAAUGAUUUGCCUUGCUUGAAUUCUGAAAUCUCUUUUAUAUCCAAAAUCAUUAUGCAGGUUGAUCAAACCCAUUGAACAUAAUGACCCAACACCAUCUCCCAACUUUGAGUUCCUUGUAUUUGAGGCAGAAGAAGAUGAUGUUGAAGAGAUUCCUGAUGAGAUUACCCGUCUGCUUGAGCACGAAGAGAAGAUCAUUCAGCCGCACAUUGAGAAUCUGGAAACAAUCAACUUGGGGUCUGAGGGUUGUGUGCGUGAGGUGAAGAUUGGGGCACUCCUUGAAGAGUCUGUGAAGAAGGGGUUGAUUGAGUUGCUACGAGAAUAUGUCAAUGUCUCCGCCUGGUCAUAUGAAGACAUGCCUGGUCUAGAUACUGAUAUCGUGCAACAUUUCCUGCCCUUGAAGCCUGAGUAUGUGCCUUUGAAGUAGAAGCUCAGAAGAACUCAUCCUGAUAUGGCAGUGAAGAUUAAAGAAGAAGUUCAUAAGCAAAUUGAUGCGGGGUUUCUGGUGACUUCUACAUAUCCUCAAUGGGUGGCCAAUAUUAUGCCUGUGCCUAAGAAAGAUGGAAAAGUCUGAAUGUGUAUGGACUACCGAGACUUGAAUAAAGCUAGUCCGAAAGAUGAUUUUCCUCUACCACACAUUGAUAUAUUGGUAGAUAAUACAGGUAAAUUCAAUCUCUUCUCAUUUAUGGAUGUAUUUUCCGGUUAUAACUAGAUUAAAAUGGCACCCGAGGAUAUGGAGAAGACAACAUUCACCACACCUUGGGGAACAGUCUGUUAUCGAGUGAUGCCCUUCGGUUUGAAGAACGCCGGAGCCAUGUAUCAACGAGCUAUGACUACCUUGUUUCAUGAUAUGAUGCACAAGGAGAUCGAGGUAUAUGUUGAUGAUAUGAUUGCGAAGUCAAAAAUGGAAGUUGAACAUGUAGAGCACUUGUUGAAGCUUUUUCAGCAUUUGAGGAAGUACAAACUUCGUCUGAAUCCGAACAAGUGUACAUUUGGAGUCCGUUCCGGCAAGUUAUUGGGCUUUAUUGCCAGUGAAAGAGGUAUUGAAGUUGAUCCUGCCAAGGUCAAAGCAAUACAAGAGAUGCCUGCACCCAAAACUGAAAAGCAAGUCUGAGGUUUUCUUGGCCGCUUGAAUUACAUUUCCAGAUUUAUAUCCCACAUGACUGACACAUGUGCGCCAAUAUUCAAGCUCCUCCGGAAAGAUCAGCAUCAUGAUUGGACCGAGGAUUUCCAGAAGGCCUUUGACAGUAUUAAAGAGUAUCUGUCUUUGCCUCCGAUUCUGUCUCCGCCUGUUGAAGGGAGACCAUUGAUUAUGUACUUGACUGUGCUUGAUGACUCCAUGGUGUAAGACCCUAAUUUUGACCCUAAGAUCCCUCAUGGCAUCAUAACAUUGCAUUUGCAUAGCCUCAAGGAUCAGAAGCAUCUUGGUUCCUUUUGCCUUUGGGUUGGGAUCUCUUGUGAGUGGUUUGAGAUCAACAAGCAUGCUGGAAUUGUAUAUCAUUGCUUUUCUCAUUUUAUUAACUCAAAAGCACAAAAAAACAUGUCACUAACAUCUCUUGUUUAUAGCUUGAGCAGUCACAAGGUCUAAAGGCUUCUAUGAGACCCUAUGUGCAAUGGUAUGGUCAAGAGGAGAUGAAAGCAAGCAUGGUAAUGGUUCCCAAAGCUCUCAUCCAUCAAAUAUGCCUCCCAAGUAUCUCAAUUCAUCAUUUUUAUCAAAGCAAGUCAAAGGGUUUGAGGCUUGUUUCCCAAGGAAACCCUAAUUCAUCUGUUGAUCAACUGUGACUUGCUCUUGAAGCAAUCUCAACCCAUGAUGAAAUACAAUCAAGGGAAGUUCUUUAAUUCAUCAUUUCAUGCAUAUUUGAACUCAUUUAAGUGUCCUCAAUCAUUAAUUCAUCAGGAUAUGAGUUGUGGACUUGAGAAGUUGAUCAGUCAAUUCAUCUGACUAUUUUGAAAUGCACUGAGACCUAACUUUUUAUGUGUUGGUCAAAUGGAGAUGACCCCAAGAGAAAAAAUGUUCUUAAGGACAAUAUGAACAAAUUUCAUGUUCUUCAUCAAAAUUUAUUUUGAGCUUGGAAGGUCAUCAUCCAUUCCAAGACAUUAUAGGUCAUUUUGACUGAAACCCUAAUUUUAGGUCAACUCCCAAGGACAUAACGCCUUCAUUUUUCAUGAUUUUCAGGUGAGACUUAAUGCAUUGGAAAGCUUAUUGUGUAUAAUUCAAAUGUUAUGUGAGCAAAUUUGCAAAAUCGCAAAAUAAAUACAUGUGAUAAUGCAAAACAUUAUAGGUCCUUUUAGGCAAAUGCAUUGAAAUGUGAAAAAGUCCAACUUCAAGUGCCCAUAACUUCUUCAUAAAAAAUCCAAAUGAUGCAAAAUUUAAGUCCAAAUUGAUUGUCUUGAAAAUAUAUACAACUUUCAUGUUGGAUAUUUUAUCAUUUGUAGCUGGCAUCAUUGAUACAUAAGGGCUUGAACAUUGGCCAAAUUUGGAAAUUUCACAUAUGCAUGUUUUGCACCCUACACUUCAAGUUCAAUUUUCAUUAAUUUACAAGGCUCAAAUGAAGUUUUGAUCAACAUGACACUUGUUCCUUAUGCAACAAGCUUUCCAACCAUUACUCAUAAGGUUGUAUUUUGAUUUUGGACAUGGCAUUUUCGAAGGCUUCAAUGAAAUAGUGCAUUUUAUGAAAAUCAUUCCAAUUGCCAUGCAUGAUCCAUUAAUACUCAAUCUGCAUGUUCAAUUCAUAUUUGGUGAUGUAUAGCUUGCAAUUCCAAUUAGAAUUGGGCCCUCCAUGCGCCUGUACAGGCCCAUGCAUGGAGGCCCUCUUCUCCCAGGCACACGAGUUUGAUGAUGCUUGCAGCUCCCUCCAUCUAUAAAUACAAUGCCUUGCCCUCUCAUUUCUUCAACCUUAAGGCGUCCUACAUGCUGUGCAACUGAAAUCCCACACCCACACCAAAGGAACAAUCUCAAUUUUCUCUCAAAUUUCAGAUCUGAAUUUUGAUUUCCUCGAUUGAAAUUUCAAAUCUAAAGUUCCUAGACCUCUUCACCUUGAUCCAUAGAGUUUUCUGUUUGCAAAAGAACUCAUAGAUCGUGACUCAAUUCUUCACAAUUCAAAGGUUUUAUUCAACUGCAUUUUGCUUUGAAACAGCUCAUAUAUUGUUCCAUUUGCCUUGAUUUUGUGUGAUCUGAAGUCCUCUGCAUAGAGGCAUCAUUAUUGAGCUUUGAAUUUUUGAAAUCGAGCAAGUUCAGUUGAACAUCAUUAAAAUUCAACCUCUGAUUUCUCUCUCAAUAGGAAUCUAGAGUGAAUUUGGUUGGUCUAGGAGUGAUCUACAACACUCCACCUUUCAUUUGGUACCUGGAUUGUGCAUUUUAGUUGAUGUCUUAAUCCCUGCAAAUUGUGACCUUCGCCGGAGCUAGCCGGAGAAGACGGUGGCGCUGGCCACCGUCUGGUCUCCAGAUUGGAUCUGAGCCGUCCAUCUCAGUUUCCAGAUCUAACCUCAUCCACACAAUGUUAUGACUUUUUAAUUGGUAGCGUGUUUUGCAUUGACUCACGUGUAUUGUGGAAGCGCACUCAGAAGCCGUGUGAUGUGUCAGCUCAAUUAAUGAGCCAUCAUUCAACGCUUCUCCUUUUUUCUUAUUUUUAUUUUCUGAUUUCUAUUUUCUUUUAUUUCUUUUAAAUCCAUUUUAUUUCUAAAAUUCAUAUCUCUUUCAUUAUUGGUCCAAAAAUUAUGGGACCAAUUGCAUUAUUUCUCUUUUAAUUUGUAGUUUCUAAAAAUGAUUUUUAAUAUUUUUUAUUUUAUCAUUUGCUAUUUUUCAUGAAUUUUCUCUUUUCUGGUUAUUUUUAAUUCAUUUUAAAUAGUUUUUGAUAUUCAAAAAAUACAAAAAUAUUUUCUCAACCUCUUUGAAUGAUGAUAGAUCUAUGAAAAAUAUUCUCAUCAAUUUAUAAUUGAUUUGAGAUUUAUUUGAGAUUUAGUUCAAUUAGGUUAUUUUAUGCAUUUUCAAUGAUUUAAAUAGUUUCUGACUUCUAAAAAUGCUGAAUUUUUUUGUCAAACUUUGUUUGACCUUGUUGAACUUGGGAUAAUUCACUUGGACUUUUCAAAGUUGAUUUGAAGUGAAUUUGAAGUUUGACCUUUCUUUAUUACUUUAAUUCAAGUUUUAUUUUAAAUAUUAAAAAUGCCAAAAAUAUUUUAGUUGUUUCUUAACUUCUAAUUCUCAUUUUGCUUAUGUUUUCUAUUGUUUGACCUUGAUCUUCUCUAUUUUUGGUCAAUGCUUGUUGAUUGAUACAUACCAUUUCCAUUAAUGCACUUUAAUUCUUCUUCUUCUUCUUCUUCUUUUUUUUUAUUUUUUAUCAAUGAGUUAAAGAUUGGUGGUUAGCAUUGAUUAUGGAAGUUUAAUCUUCCUUGAUUCAAAUCUAAUUCAUCUUGAUCAUGGAUCAAGUGAAUGGCUUUGCAUUAAGGAUAGAUUGCUUUUUAAAUCAUGCAAAGAACCUAAAUCAAUACAAGAUCAUUUCUCUUCUUCUUUUUGGCAUGGCAAGUUGUUGGAGUUUGAUUCACUAAUCAAGACCUCUAACUUGUGUUGUUGCCUACAUUAUUAUUGACCGGCCUCAGAUAAAGAUCAUUUCUCUUCUUCUUUUUGGCAUGGCAAGUUGUUGGAGUUUGAUUCACUAAUCAAGACCUCUAACUUGUGUUGUUGC